rnacentral:tRNA from 2 species
GGUUCCAUGGUGUAGUGGUUAUCACAUCUGCUUUACAUGCAGGGGAUCCUGGGUUCGAUUCCCAGUGGAACCA